AGCUGGGAUCCGAGCACGAGGUGUGCGCUGCCAAAACGAAGCCGAGGGACCCUGGGCUGCCGUGGGGCUGCAGCGAUAACCGUAGGUUUGAGCCGUUCCCGAAGCAAAGCUGUGAUGGCAGGAUCUUGUAUGUGAUCCCUGAGGCACUGUUGAACAUGGAGCAGUUGCUUCUGAAUGAAAACUUGCUGAAGCUGGAAACAGCAUCUGCUGAAACAUGUGGGAUCCGGGUCCCAGAGCCUUGUUUCUUCCUUUGUAUAAAGUUUGGUAGAAAAACUCUUAGCUUUGGAGACAUUCUGCCAGCUGCAAACCCUGUUGCCGUCUGUUUUCAGGCUUGUAGAAUACACGAACAAUGAGGGGUCCUGAGUUAUGGCUGUUGCUUUGUAAUAGCAGAUAAAAUUUUAUUUCUGAUGUUUUAAAAAUGUAAGUUCUGUUGGGUCUCAAAAUGCACAUGUGGAAAGCAGCUUCACAAAGAGUAAUCAUCCUAAGAGAAAGCACCUGUGCGGUGCUUCAGAAUGGUGUAAAGGUGUUGAAUAAAAGCUCGGUUAGUUUGGAUUAAUGAGUUACAGAAAUGUGGAGGCAUCAGUUCACAUCUGCACUUUGAAGAUUCACAGGUGGAAAUAAGUUCUUUGUCAUUGAGUUGGAGGAUUAGAAAUAGACAUGUCAAAGCACCUACUCAUACAGUGUAAGCUUAUUGAAGUUCAUCUUUUCUUCAGAGAUGAGACUUUAAAGGCUGCGCUUGGUAUAAGGCAAGAACUUUAUGGUACAGAGAAACUAGUGUCACAUGCAACUAACUGCUUUCCUCUUUCAGCAGCUUGAACAGAGCUCAGGAACAACAUUUUUGCAAAGGUCAGAGGCAGUCUUUGAGCUUUUUUGAUCACUGUGCUGUCAGUGGAACAAAAUCUGUUGAGGCUGGAAAGUUUUACUCUAGUAGGUUAAGAAUGAUGCGUGCAUUAAAAAUUUGCAGCUACUUCCUGACAAUGAUAUAACACAGCACAAUAGGCUUAGAGAAGGGAAGUUUCCACCUGUGGUAUGUUUCUGAAGGUUUUUGUCAUUUAAAUGCAAGGAUUUUUGGUCAGACAUUUCAACUGGAUGUUCCCUUUGCGAGGUGCAGUUUGGCACUCUGUCUUUACCACGAGCUUCAAAGUGUGUGUUGUCCUUAUGUAUGAUUAGAAGGUUGGAUUAAAAGAAAACCCAAAAAAUGACACAAUUACACCUACGUAUCUUCUAGAGUCCAAAAUUUAGAGUUUCCAAGUGGAAAGAUAUUGGUUUUUUUUUUCUGAAGGCUGCAGCUUUAACCAAUGAAGUCCCUAUUCUUCACCAAUUGAAGUUGAAGAAAGCAUUUCUGGCCAUUUGGCUUAAUCUUUUCUGUCUCAUAGACUUAAGGGUUCAAAUUUGCCCCAGUUGGAGAACACAAAGUGCUUGAAUCCAUUUCUUGGAAGGAGUCUCCCUGGGGCAGAGUCUGAGACGUGUUGGUUGGUAUCAGAUGUGGAAACAGCUUGUUUUAUUGCUUAUGCUGUAUGUUUCUUUUUCUGCAAGGUUUUUGUUUUCUCAGCUUAUCAGUUAUUCUUUUUGCCAAUAUAAAAUGCAUUUAAAUGAUAAAUAAAAUAUUUUUACAGUAAAAGAA